rnacentral:lncRNA from 1 species
AUGAAAUUACAGGAACAAAAAAGCGUUGCUCUGGGUAGAUGUCACCAGUAUUUACACUUUCUCUGCAAGGGACAAAUGUCAUGGAAACAGCCCCGGAGAAGAGCAGCUUAAUUCAGUGUGGUGUUAGUAAAAGAAGCGCAGGAAACUUGAAGUUGACCUCUUGAUCUUCCAGCCGUAAGUUUAAAAUAAAAUCUUUCUGAUUGUUUCCUCCA